rnacentral:rRNA from 1 species
AUAACCCUACGGGAGGCAGCAGUAGGGAAUCUUCCACAAUGGACGAAAGUCUGAUGGAGCAACGCCGCGUGAGUGAAGAAGGGUUUCGGCUCGUAAAGCUCUGUUGGUAGUGAAGAAAGAUAGAGGUAGUAACUGGCCUUUAUUUGACGGUAAUUACUUAGAAAGUCACGGCUAACUACGUGCCAGCAGCCGCGGUAAUACGUAGGUGGCAAGCGUUGUCCGGAUUUAUUGGGCGUAAAGCGGAUGCAGGCGGUUCAAUAAAACU